rnacentral:rRNA from 1 species
GCGCGAAAACUCCACAAUGUGCGAAAGCAUGAUGGGGUUAACCCGAGUGCCAUCCGAUGAGGACGGCUUUUCUUCAGUUUUAAGGAUCUGGAGGAAUAAAGGGGGGCAAGACUGGUGUCAGCCGCCGCGGUAAUACCAGCCCCCUGAGUGGUAGGGACGAUUAUUUGGCCUAAAGCGUCCGUAGCCUGUUUGGUAAGUCUUUCGUUAAAUCCGACGAUUCCAUCGUUGGGCCGCGGAAGAGACUGCCAGACUUGAGGACGGGAGAGGUCGACGGUAGUCCCAGGGUAGGGGUGAAAUCCUAUAAUCCUGGGAGGACCACCAGUGGCGAAGGCGGUCGACUAGAACGUGCCUGACGGUGAUGGACGAAAGCUGGGGGAGCGAACCGGAUUAGACACCCGGGUAGUCCCAGCUGUAAACGAUGCGAGCUAGGUGUUGGAGCAACUACGAGUUGCUCCAGUGCCGCAG